GUCACGCCCUAAACGAUGUCAACUGGUUGUUGGGAGGGUUUCUUCUCAGUAACGUAGCUAACGCGUGAAGUUGACCGCCUGGGGAGUACUGCCGCAAGGUUGAAACUCAAAGUAAUUGACGGGGACCCGCACAAGCGGUGGAUGAUGUGGUUUAAUUCGAUGCAACGCGAAAAACCUUACCUACCCUUGACAUGUCUGGAAUCCUGAAGAGAUUUGGGAGUGCUCGAAAGAGAGCCAGAACACAGGUGCUGCAUGGCCGUCGU
rnacentral:rRNA from 1 species